UCCUUGCAAGUCGGAUGGCUUUUGGGAUCUUCCGGAUAUCGUUCGACAUGAGGGUUAUGUGGCUGGUCUCCAUUGCAACUGCAGAACCUGAUAUGCCCAUUGAGAUCCCCACAUCGGCCAUGGCCAAUGCAGAAGUUCUGCAUGAAGAUCUUCAAUGGCAUGCCCUAGCUAUCAAACAGCAACAAUACUAUUACAAGGACUGCAGGACUGUAACAUGGUGCAAGUACCUAGAAAUCUAUAUGUGAGACCCCGUCCGGCAGGUGUCAGAGAGAGUAAAUACUCCAACUGGUACAGUUCCAGAGAAGACGUGCCCGACUGUAACUCCUUCCUUCAUGUCCACCAAUUCUGGAACUAAAGUUCAAGGCCAAAUGUCACAGAAAUUCUUGGAAACAGGGCGAUCUCACUGUCGAUCGAACAAAACUCGACAACAGCAAACUCUCCUCUUGUGAUGGUCCCUGUCUUGUCAAAAGCCACUACUUCAAUCCUGGCCAGGGCUUCAAGAACAUCCCCUCCUUUGAUGAGAAGCCCUACCCUUGCUGCCUUCAAGAGUGCACAGAAGGUUGCAACAGGAGUGGAUAGCACUAGUGCGCAUGGGCAGGCACUCACAAGAAGGACCAGGGCUAAUUGGAACCAGUGUUUGGGAUUAUGGACUCUCAUUAUCGAAGGAAUCACUGCAAAACCUGCUGCCGCUAUCACCACAGCUGCAGUGUGCCAGUGUGCAUAGUCAGAAAAAAAAAAAGAGUUAAGAGUUCAUAUAAGAUAUCUGCAUCAGGUGAUAUAAAACAGCAUAUGCUCAAUGCUGUAAGUUUUUAAGUUAAAAAGUGUUAAAUGUGUCAGCACUCACUAUUUUUUUUCUUCUUCUUUUAUUGGUUGAAAGAAGUAUUCAUACUGUACUGGUACAGAGUAUUCUGUACAUCCAACCAGCUUAUGUACCUAGUGUACCGAUAUAGUGAUAGAUCGGUACUGGUAUGAAAUCUGAUACUGAGAUGGCAUACCUCGAGUAUUAUUAUAUUUGAGGAGGCGAGAUUUUUUAUUUUUAUUUUUUGGUGGGGAGCAA